GCAGCCGUAGCUCAGUUGGUUAGAGCGCUAGUUUGUGGAACUAGAUGUCGGUGGUUCGAAUCCACCCGGCUGUACCA
rnacentral:tRNA from 2 species